ensembl:lncRNA
UUCCUUCCCAUUUACAUUUAGCAGACGCUUUUAUCCAAAGCGACUUACAUAUGUGCAACGUACAAUGUAUACACAUUUUACAUUUUCACUGAUGGCACACUGCACAUCAGGAGCAAUUAGGGGUUCAGUGCCUUGCUCAAGGACACUUCGACAGGGAAUCGAACUAGCAACCCUCUGAUUACUAAACGACUUCUUUACCUCCUGUACCACUGCCGCCCCUUCCUUCCACGAUUACUGUGCCAGAGGUGUGACUUAUAAUGGGCCACUUUGUGAUCUUACUACGUGCUUCACGAUGCUUCCCCCAAGGGUGCCGUUUGUCUGUCUGGCACGCUUGUACGUUUCGGACGAAGAUAAAAGUGACAAGAGCAAAAAAUGAAUGAGUGUCUCAACAGGCCCACUUGAGCUACAGAGGACCAUGAGACAUAAGUGUGGCCCACUCUAAACAGUUCCCUCGGGGGCUACGUCCAGCAGAGAACAGGAACUCCUUCUGUUCUCCAAGAGGGGAAAAAAAAAUCAUCUAUGAACUUGUCUAUAGAUUGGCUUGGUCAUAAAAUGAGAAAUAUGUGCUUGGACACCCCGUGAUCCAAACUGAAUUGGUCCCCUCCAGCUGCAUUCCCUUCAGUUUUGUAGGCAAUAUAUAUAAUCUAUGUGUGUGGUGUGUGUGUGUGUGUGUGUAUGUAUAUACACAAUACAAUCUUGUCUAUGUAAUCAUGUUCCCCGGCAUGUAUUCUGUAAAUCACUGAACCCAUAGGUAAAGGUGCUCUAUGGAGGAAAGCAUACCUUGCAGAAGUUGAUAUUAGAAGUAGAAAAAUGGUCUUUCAGUAAAGCUUUUCUUUCUGUGUCAAACACAUACAACACUCAAGCAACAAAACCACAUGGCAUUGGCUCUUCAGAUAAACAAGAUGAGAGCAAAAGUUUCUCAGUAAGCGCGCCAAGACUGAUCAAAAGAUAUGAUCAAUUAGAUGAUGUGUAUAUAUGAGCUCUGUGUAGAUAUGAUCAAUUAGAUGAUGUGUAUAUAUGAGCUCUGUGAAGAUAUGAUCAAUUAGAUGAUGUGUAUAUAUGAGCGCUCUCUGUGAAGCAGCCAUGGCAACAAGCAAACGUUUACAACGUGAACGUCUAAGCAAGUAAAGGUAGAUGAUGUUUGUGUCAUGGUGGAGAUAGGUAAGGAUUUUUCAGUAAGAAACGCAUGUGUGAGUACCCAUGUCUUACAUUUCCAUGAGUG